rnacentral:rRNA from 1 species
GAUGAACGCUGGCGGCGUGCCUAAUACAUGCAAGUCGAGCGAACAGACGAGGAGCUUGCUCCUCUGACGUUAGCGGCGGACGGGUGAGUAACACGUGGAUAACCUACCUAUAAGACUGGGAUAACUUCGGGAAACCGGAGCUAAUACCGGAUAAUAUAUUGAACCGCAUGGUUCAAUAGUGAAAGACGGUUUUGCUGUCACUUAUAGAUGGAUCCGCGCCGCAUUAGCUAGUUGGUAAGGUAACGGCUUACCACGGCAACGAUGCGUAGCCGACCUGAGAGGGUGAUCGGCCACACUAGAACGGAGACACGGACCAGACUCCUACGGGAGGCAGCAGUAGGGAAUCUUCCGCAAUGGGCGAAAGCUUGACGGAGCAACGCCGCGUGAGUGAUGAAGGUCUUCGGAUCGUAAAACUCUGUUAUUAGGGAAGAACAAAUGUGUAAGUAACUAUGCACGUCUUGACGGUACCUAAUCAGAAAGCCACGGCUAACUACGUG